UACGGAGGAUGCAAGCGUUAUCCGGAUUCAUUGGGUUUAAAGGGUGCGUAGGCGGAAAUGUAAGUCAGUGGUGAAAGUUUGUGGCUCAACCAUAAAAUUGCCUUUGAUACUGCAUUUCUUGAGUACAUUUGAGGUAGGCGGAAUGUGUUGUGUAGCGGUGAAAUGCUUAGAUAUAACACAGAACACCGAUUGCGAAGGCAGCUUACUAAACUGUAACUGACGCUGAUGCACGAAAGCGUGGGGAUCGAACAGG
rnacentral:rRNA from 1 species